UUUUCAUGUGUCUUCAAACUGGCUGCAAUGACCUAUUUGUCUCUCUAAUUCUGAGAGAUAUUGUUUUAUAAUAAAUAUUUUUUUCUUUUAUGACUAAAAGAAACUAUUCUAAUUAGAUGAUUGGAAUCAGAUUGAAAGAAAUACAGGAAGUUAAAAAUAACAGAAUGGAAGCUUGUUCCAUUAUGUUGAGCAAUUCCUAAGACAAAAGUUCUUUACAUUACUCCCUUAGGCCUUACUCUGUAUUUCCCUUGGUAGCAUCAUCGAAAGCUUAGACCUUUCUUGAGAAAACACAUACUGACAGGUAAGCAGUAUCUACAUAAAGGUGACUUUCCCCCUAUUUAAUGAAAAUAACAAAUAAUUUAGAUAUUAAUGUAUUUCUCAAUGUCGCUUUCAUGUAUAACACUAGAUAUCCUCUAUUCAUUCAUUAAUUCUCCAGGCAACAUUACCAAGUGCUUGUUUUUAUCAUAUUCUCUGUGACCCUGAAGAUUCAAAAUUAUACCGUGACAAGAAGAAAUAUUCCUAAAUCAUCCUACAGGCUAAUUCUGGAUUUCCUGGACAAUGAACAAGUGGGACUUGAAGAUUCCCCUCUACUAUCUUCAUCAGUAUCUAACCUGGCUUCCCACAGGGCCACAAGCUACCCAGAUUGUUCCCUGCUGCUGAAGAAGCUUAUUCUGACUCUACACAAGUCAAGAGAAUGAUGCAGAGACAGGCUAUAAAAUUUUAUAAACUGCAGCAAAUCUGAAGACAUACUGUGGAACAUGGAAAUUCCGGAACAGAGCUAUAGAUCAAGUUGCUAAAAUAUUUAUUUACAGAGUAUCUUCAAGCAAAUGAUUACUUUUUAUCAAAUCAAG